UGCGAUGAAAAGGAGGGGGGCAACGAUCGGCCGAGUAUUAUGAUGCAAAAUUUCAGAGAAUGCUUAGAUGAUUGUGGCCUUGUUGAUUUAGGGUAUGUGGGAGAUAAAUUCACAUGGAGAAGGGGAGAUAUAAGAGAACGACUUGAUCGGGCUGUAUGCAAUGAUGCAUGGAUGAACAAGUUCCCCUUCACAGCGGCUGUUAAUGAGCAGCAUGUACAUUCUGACCAUAGACCGCUUGUGAUUGAUACUGAUUACUACGACGGGAAACAAAUGAAGAGAUCGGCUGGAGGUGUGAAGUUUGAAGCUCGCUGGCUCCAAGAAGAAACAGUAAAUGAGAUUGUCAAAACGGCUUGGAAGAGAGCCAAACUCGCAGGUAUUGGUCCAUCCCUUGCUAAUCGGACUCGUGCAGUUCAUGCAGAUCUCCACCAGUGGGAUAAGGAGAUUCUGGGAGGUCCUAAAAAACGUAUAAAGAAGCUAAAGAGAUAG
rnacentral:rRNA from 1 species